GUGAGGAAUUUUCCGCAAUGGGCGAAAGCCUGACGGAGCAAUGCCGCGUGAAGGAUGAAGGCCUAUGGGUUGUAAACUUCUUUUCUCAGAAAAGAAUUAUGACGGUAUCUGAGGAAUAAGCAUCGGCUAACUCUGUGCCAGCAGCCGCGGUAAGACAGAGGAUGCAAGCGUUAUCCGGAAUGAUUGGGCGUAAAGCGUCUGUAGGUUGUUUAAAAAGUAUUCUGUCAAAGAUUAGGGCUUAACCCUAGAUAGGCAGAAUAAACUUUUAAGCUAGAGUUUGGUAGAGGCAGAGGGAAUUCCCGGUGGAGCGGUGCAAUGCGUAGAUAUCGGGAGGAACACCAAAGGCGAAGGCACUCUGCUGGGCCAAUACUAACACUGAGAGACGAAAGCGAGGGGAGCAAAUGGGAUUAGAAACCCGUGUAGUCC
rnacentral:rRNA from 1 species